CGACACUCAAGUCCUCAUCCUCCUCUUCUCCCAACCGGCCACACUUCGACAGUAGUUUAGUGUUUUUGUAUAGUUUAGUUGUUGUGUCAGUAGUAGGGGUGGACUUUUUGUUACAGCGUUUUCGCCUGUUUAUUUAGUUAGGGAGGUAAGUUCCUGUUAUUUGGUUUGUUUUAGGUAAAGUUUAUUGUUUUCUAGACAGGGACCCUUUUUGUUUGUCCACCCUGAAGCCUAGAUCUUAGUUCAUCCAUUUUGUUGUCUUUUACCAUACCUUCGUAAAUAAAUAAUUAUUUUUUCGAAUAUGACGCUAAAAAUCGUUUGUGGUCACUUGGGACUUGGGGAAGAUGAGGCCUUAUCAUGUUAUGUCCUAGGUCCCCUAGACUGGGGCAUAACACAGUACUGUACUCCCAUCUUUUGCACUAAUUUAAGUAUACCCUCUUCACUCAGAGGGAACCUGCUCCUCUUCCAAAAUCUUAUUGAACAGGCUGUGCAGCUUGUUGACCGAGCUUACUAUGUCUGCUUUGAGGGCCUCUGCUGGUAUGUCGUCUGGUACUGCUGACUUCCCAUCCCUAUGAGACAUGAUGGCCUUCUUAAUCUCUACCUUUGUAGGUUUUCCUGUGUUGAUAGGUAGCUGUGAUUCUGCAGGGGAUGUCUGGAGGUGCUUCUGGGACAGGUCGGUUAAGCAGCUCACUGAAGUUUAUCCACUUGCUGAAGCUUUCUUUUGUUUCCUUGCUUCCAGCUUCUGCAGGGUGCUGAAGGAGAUCCACUCUUUGUGCUGUGGUUUAUUCUUGCCCAAGACCUCUUCACACGUGUCAAGCCACCCCUUCUUGGUCUGUUGCCACUGGUCCUCAAUAUCUGUGUCCUCCUCCUUAAAGAGUUCCUGUAGUGGUUGAAACCUGUUGGAGAGAUGAAUUUGAAUGAUGUCUGGAUGGCUUUAUUCUUGAGCAGGCCUUCAUUAAAUCUUUUACAGGGAUUGGUGAUAUUGGGGUGGUUCUUCAGCCUUAGUCGAGCUGCCAUCUCAAGAAGGUGGUGGUCUGUUGACACAUCUGCCCCCCUCAUCACCCUUACAUCACUCCACAGACGUCGGAACUUCUGGCUGAUGCAUAUGUGGUCGAUCUGGUUUUCAGUGAUACAGUCGGGAGAUCUCCAAGUGGCUUUGUGGAUUUGCUUGUGCAUGAAGGUGCUGCUUCCUAUCACUAACUGGUUGAGUGCGCACAGGUCUGUAAACCUUUCCCCAUUCUUGUUCAUCUUACCUAGCCCUUGUGUUCACAUUACCUCCUCAUGGCCUGUGUUAUCCGACCCUAUCUUGGCAUUGAGAUCCCCCAUAAGUACCGUGAUGUCUUUGUUUCUACUCUUGUCCAGCUUAGGUUUGUAGUUGCUGGUAGAAGGCAUCUUUCUUCUCUUCCUCCGCAUCAUUUGUGGGAGCAUAGCACUGUAUGACCCUAAAGUUGAUGCUGCUUUUCUUUGUGGCAAACAAAGAAGUGAUGUGGCAGAGAUGAUACGUGAGCUGACGGGUUCCCAGCUGAUGAGUGCCUGCUGUGUUUCCCAUGCCAACAUCAGAGCGACUUCCUCUGAGUGAUGUGCUCCCUCCUCUGUGUGUCCCGAGUAACAUCUCUCCUGUUGCUAGCCUAAGCUGUCCUGCCUGUAACUAUUUGUUUCACUCAGCCCUAGUAGAGCGAUGUUGUAGAUCCUCAUUUUGUUCGCUACCUGUGAUGUCCUCCCUGUUUCGUACAUUGUUCUAACAUUCCAUGUACCUAUCCUAAUCAUUGUCUUGGGUGUCAGAAGUGGAGUCGGUCUUGCAGCAUCCCUCUGGCUUUCACUGCCUUGCGUCAUAAGCCUCCUGUGUGGAGGCCCUUCCUCUCCCAGGGCGGGUUUUUCUUGGAAAACGUUAUCCAAGCUACAGGCUAAUCGCUAAACGAGUUGCGUGUAAGCAUGUUCGCCCGUGCUUCAUUUGCAUGUACGUCUCUCUCUCACACCUCUAAACACAGCAUUAUUCAGGCUAAGAGCUGAUUGCAGCGUUGUGCGAAGUGUGUGUGUAUUUGCCUGUAUAUCUUGAGACACCCAAGAUAUGCAGGUAAAGAUAAAGACUUGUAUUAUCUUGGAGUAGGGAAGAAUUUGUAGUAAAAUUGGUACAGAUUCAAGAGAGCUAAUGAAGGAGAAAGCCUUUUUUUUUGCAUGAUCCAUAAUAGUGUUUUAUCCUCUACUAUUUUCCAUACUAGGGUCGUUUUAAUCACUGUGGCAAGUGGAUCAAACCUGGUGAGGAAAAAACCCCAGAUGUAAUUGAAAUGAAAUGGAUAUUAUAAAUACAAGGUUCAGUUGCACUGCACAAGGUCAAAAAGAUCCUGACUAACAAGAGGGUCCUGAAAGACAUGGAGAAACUGAGCCACCACUACCAGACUUCAACACUGGAAUCCUUCCACAACUUGGUCCUGCGCAUCACUCCCAAGAAUGUUAUGCAGGUAAUGAACUCUGUAACAGUAUUUGACAGUAACUUUGGGCAUCAUAACCUGUGUAGGUGAACCAGUCUAGAAAGUCCUGUAUCCGAAGUCAAAGAGGGGAGAGGCCACUGCAAAGCCAGUCAAAACAGACCCCACAUACAAUGCAACAGGGGAUGGAUUGCUUGCUGUUCCAGAUGUAAUGCAGUGGUUGACUGACCAGGCCCCCCUGGCACCUGCUCCUUACAGAGAGGGAAUCUUUCAAAAUCACAGUUAAUGUCUCUUACCCUUAGGGUUAGGUAAGUUCGGGUAACCCUUACCCGAACUGUCAUUGGAAGCUGGUUCCACAG